CGUGUAGGCGGCUUGACAAGUCAGAUGUGAAAUCCCUGGGCUUAACCCAGGAAGUGCAUUUGAAACUGUCUGGCUCGAGUAAGGGAGAGGAAAGUGGAAUUCCUGGUGUAGAGGUGAAAUUCGUAGAUAUCAGGAGGAACACCGGUGGCGAAGGCGACUUUCUGGCCCUAUACUGACGCUGAGACGCGAAAGCGUGGGUAGCAAACAG
rnacentral:rRNA from 1 species